rnacentral:rRNA from 1 species
CGAGAAGCUUCGGCAAUGGACGAAAGUCUGACCGAGCGACGCCGCGUGAGCGAUGAAGGCCCUAGUGGUCGUAAAGCUCUGUCAGGAGGGAAUAAAUACCUGUGGCUAAUACCCGCAGGGGCUGAAGGUACCUCCAGAGGAAGCACCGGCUAACUACGUGCCAGCAGCCGCGGUAAUACGUAGGGUGCAAACAUUGUUCGGAUUCACUGGGUAUAGAGGGUUCGUAGGCGGGCCUAUAAGUCAGAGGUGAAAGCCAACGGCUCAACCGUUGAACUGCCUCUGAUACUGUAGGUCUUGAGUCCGUUAGGGGAUGGUGGAAUUCCUGGUGUAGCGGUGAAAUGCGUAAAUAUCAGGAGGAACACCGGUGGCGAAGGCGACCAUCUGGGACGGAACUGACGCUGAGGAACGAAAGCUAGGGUAUCAAACGGGAUUAGAUACCCUAGUAGUC